GAACCGAAAGCCUGACGCAGCGACGCCGCGUGUAGGAUGAAGUCCUUCGGGAUGUAAACUACUGUCAGAGUGAAGAAAGAAGAGGGCUGUAAUGCCUGAACUUGAUCGAUCCCAGAGGAAGCCACGGCUAACUUCGUGCCAGCAGCCGCGGUAAGACGAAGGUGGCAAGCGUUGUUCGGAAUUAUUGGGCUUAAAGCGCAUGCAGGCGGGAAGUUAAGCGUUCUGUGAAAUCCCUCGGCUUAACCGAGGACUAGCGGGGCGAACUGGCUUUCUUGAGGCAAGUAGGGGUGUAUGGAACUCUAGGUGGAGCGGUGAAAUGCGUAGAUAUCUAGAGGAACGCCAGCGGAGAAAUCGGUACACUGGGCUUGUUCUGACGCUGAGGUGCGAAAGCGUGGGUAGCGAACGGGAUUAGAUACCCCGGUAGUCCACGCCGUAAACGAUCAUACUAGGUCGUGGAGGUUCUGACACCUUCGCGGCCGAAGCAAAAGUGCUAA
rnacentral:rRNA from 1 species